rnacentral:rRNA from 1 species
AUGGCUCAGAUUGAACGCUGGCGGCGUGCUUAACACAUGCAAGUCGCGCGUGAAAGUCCUUCGGGAUGAGUAAAGCGGCGCACGGGUGAGUAACGCGUGGAUGAUCUACCCAUGAGUUGGGAAUAACGGUUGGAAACGAUCGCUAAUACCCGGUACGUUCCGAUUUCAACUUCGGGAGAAAGGGGGCCUCUGCUUGCAAGCUUCUGCUCAUGGAUGAGUCCGCGUCCCAUUAGCUAGUUGGUGAGGUAACGGCUCACCAAGGCAUCGAUGGGUAGCCGGUCUGAGAGGAUGACCGGCCACACUGGGACUGGAACACGGCCCAGACUCCUACGGGAGGCAGCAGUGGGGAAUAUUGCGCAAUGGGCGAAAGCCUGACGCAGCGACGCCGCGUGAGGGAUGAAGGUCUUCGGAUCGUAAACCUCUGUCAAGAGGGAAGAAACGUCAGGGUGCUAAUCAGCCCUGAUCUGACGGUACCUCUAAAGGAAGCACCGGCUAACUCCGUGCCAGCCGCCGC